rnacentral:lncRNA from 1 species
UUUGUCCUUCGUUCGUCAGACCCCCAAAAUUCUCCUUCAUUAAUCACAGCGACAUCAGGAAUCUCUUGGCUGAUGUUGAUUUCGCACAAUGGAGACUCGUUUUGACUCUAAAUUGGUCCGAUUUUGGUUCAAAUUCUGAUCUAAGAAAAUCGGUGAGAAAUUACGCAGAAAACCGGUUUCAAUUGCCUCCCGUUUCACCGGACUGCAGAAAUUAGGGCUUAAAUGCAGUAGAUCUGAAGUUAUCGUCGUCUCUGGUGAAUUCUCGAUCUCCUUCACCGAAAUACAAACAGAAAACCUUAUCAAUUACUCCAUUUCGAUGAGGUUGAUUUCGAUUUGAUCAGAUCUGAGAAACUCGGUGAGGAAUUAUGCAUCUUAUGCAGAAAUACGUGUUGCAAUUUCCUCUUGUUUCACCGGAUUGCAGAAAUUAGGGGUUGAAUACGGUAGAUCUGAGAGGAUGAAGAUUUGUGGUGGCUGAGGAGAUGAAGUAAGAGCGUAGACACAUAACAGGGGAUUUUAAACGGCAACUUUUGCUUUUUCUAUUUUGUAAUUUCGACCGUUUAACGGUCGCGAAUUUUGUUUUUUCUAUUUUUCUUAUAUUUGCAACCGUUUAUGGUCACAACUUUUUUUUCCAACUACUAUUCAACUUAUUUGCGACCGAAUCUAGGUUGGUCUUUAAGUUUGCGAUUGUUUUGA